UGAAAGAAGAGUUCCAGGCUUCAAGACAAAACCAACAGCAAAGUAUGUUUCUGUCUUUUUCUUUUCCCCAGAAGAGAUCCAGACCUGUCGUUUGAUUGACAGCCCUGCCUUAACAGCCUGUUUCCCAGAAGUUGUACAAAGGCGCGCUCACAGUUGCAAAGAGUCUGAUUCUUUCCUUCUAAGUCGAGUGAUUUCCCUGGUAAUGGAUUGUGUCUCUCCGAGUUUCCACCCUGCUGAGACCAGAUACAGCCUCUGAACCCCGCUA
rnacentral:lncRNA from 1 species